rnacentral:rRNA from 1 species
AGGGGAAUCUUGCGCAAUGGGGGAAAGCAUGAAGCAGCCAUGCCGCGUGAAUGAUGAAGGUGUUAGGGAAGUAAAAUUCUUUCACAGAGGAGGAUAAUGACGGUACUCGGAGAAGAAGCCCCGGCUAAAUUUGUGCCAGCAGCCGCGGUAAUAUGAAGGGGGCGAGCGUUGUUCUGAAUUACUGGGCGUAAAGGGAGCGUAGGCGGAUAGUUUAGUCAGAGGUGAAAGCCCCGGGCUCAACCUUGGAAUUGCCUUUGAUACUGGCUAUCUAGAGUACGGAAGAGGUAGGUGGAACUCCGAGUGUAGAGGUGAAAUUCGUAGAUAUUGGAGAACACCA